rnacentral:rRNA from 1 species
UACAGAGGGGGCAAGCGUUGUUCGGAAUUACUGGGCGUAAAGGGCGCGUAGGCGGCCCGCUAAGUCGAACGUGAAAUCCCCGAGCUCAACUCGGGAACUGCGUCCGAUACUGGCGGGCUUGAAUCCGGGAGAGGGAUGCGGAAUUCCAGGUGUAGCGGUGAAAUGCGUAGAUAUCUGGAGGAACACCGGUGGCGAAGGCGGCAUCCUGGACCGGUAUUGACGCUGAGGCGCGAGAGCUAGGGGAGCAAACGGG